rnacentral:rRNA from 1 species
UACGGAGGGGGCGAGCGUUAUUCGGAAUUAUUGGGCGUAAAGGGCGCGUAGGCGGCUGGGCAAGUCAAAGGUGAAAUCCCUCGGCUCAACUGAGGAACUGCCUUUGAAACUGCCUGGCUUGAGGCCGGGAGGGGGUAGCGGAAUUCCCAGUGUAGCGGUGAAAUGCGUAGAGAUCGUAAGGAAGACCAGUGGCGAAGGCGAGUUUCUGGACAGUUACUGACGCUGAGGCACGAAGGCCAGGGGAGCAAACGGG